rnacentral:rRNA from 1 species
GAUGAACGCUGGCGGCGUGCCUAAUACAUGCAAGUCGAACGAACGGACGAGAAGCUUGCUUCUCUGAUGUUAGCGGCGGACGGGUGAGUAACACGUGAAUAACCUACCUAUAAGACUGGGCUAAAUUCGGGAAGCCGUAGCUAAUACCGGAUAAUAUUUUGAACCGCAUGGUUCAAAAGUGAAAGACGGUCUUGCUGUCGCUUAUAGAUGGAUCCGCGCUGCAGUAGCUAGUUGGUAAGGUAACGGCUUACCAAGGCAACGAUGCAUAGCCGACCUGAGAGCGGGUGCGGCCACUCUGGAAGUGAGACACGGUCCAGACUCCGACGGGAGGCAGCAGUAGGGAAUCGUCCGCAAUGGGCGAAAGCCUGACGGAGCAACGCCGCGUGAGUGAUGAAGGUCUUCGGAUCGUAAAACUCUGUUAUUAGGGAAGAACAUAUGUGUAAGUAACUGUGCACAUCUUGACGGUACCUAAUCAGAAAGCCACGGCUAACUACGUG